rnacentral:rRNA from 1 species
AUUGAACGCUGGCGGCAUGCCUAACACAUGCAAGUCGAGCGGAUGAAGGGAGCUUGCUCCUGUAUUCAGCUGCCGACGGGCGAGUAAGGCCUAGGAAUCUACCUUGUAUUUGAGGAUAACGUACGUAAACGGGCGCUGAUACCGCAUACGUCCUGAUUUAGAACGUCGGGGAUCUUCAGACCACACGCUAUUUGCUGACCCUAGGUCGGAUUAGCUAGUUGGUUUGGUAAAGGCCUACCAAGGCGACGAUCCGUAACUGGUCUGAGAGGAUGAUCAGUCACACUGGAACUGAGACACGGUCCAGACUCCUACGGGAGGCAGCAGUGGGGAAUAUUGGACAAUGGGCGAAAGCCUGAUCCAGCCAUGCCGCGUGUGUGAAGAAGGUCUUCGGAUUGUAAAGCACUUUAAGUUGGGAGGAAGGGAAGUAAGUUAAUACCUUGCUGUUUUGACGUUACCAAAAGAAAAAGCCACGGCUAACUUCGUG